rnacentral:lncRNA from 1 species
AGUGGUGUCUCUAGUGACUCAUCAAGUGAUAUUUGCUCUUCAUUGUUCCUAUCUGCCAAAUCAUUAUACUUCCUACAAGCAGUGCAGAGAGCUGAGUCUUCAGCAGGUCCAAGAAAUUUGAACACACUGAAGGAAGUCAGCCUUCCCACCUGAAGAUCAACAUGCCUGGCACUCUAGCACUUGAGGAUAGCUGAAUGAAUGUGUAUUUCUUUGUCUCUUUCUUUCUUGUCUUUGCUCUUUGUUCUCUAUCUAAAGUGUGUCUUACCCAUUUCCAUGUUUCUCUUGCUAAUUUCUUUCGUGUGUGCCUUUGCCUCAUUUUCUCUUUUUGUUCACAAGAGUGGUCUGUGUCUUGUCUUAGACAUAUCUCUCAUUUUUCAUUUUGUUGCUAUUUCUCUUUGCUCUCCUAGAUGUGGCUCUUCUUUCACGCUUUAUUUCAUGUCUCCUUUUUGGGUCACAUGCUGUGUGCUUUUUGUCCUUUUCUUGUUCUGUCUACCUCUCCUUUCUCUGCCUACCUCUCUUUUCUCUUUGUGAACUGUGAUUAUUUGUUACCCCUUCCCCUUCUCGUUCGUUUUAAAUUUCACCU